rnacentral:rRNA from 1 species
CCUACGGGAGGCAGCAGUAGGGAAUCUUCCACAAUGGGCGAAAGCCUGAUGGAGCAACGCCGCGUGAGUGAUGAAGGCCUUCGGGUUGUAAAACUCUGUCAUUCGGGACGAACCGGAGUCUGAGGAAAUGCAGACUCUCUGACGGUACCGGAGGAGGAAGCCCCGGCUAACUACGUGCCAGCAGCCGCGGUAAUACGUAGGGGGCAAGCGUUGUCCGGAUUCACUGGGCGUAAAGCGCGCGCAGGCGGUGAUGUAAGUCUGAGGUGAAAACCCGAAGCUCAACUUCGGGACUGCCUUGGAUACUGCGUCACUUGAGGAUAGGAGAGGCAAGGGGAAUUCCACGUGUAGCGGUGAAAUGCGUAGAGAUGUGGAGGAACACCUGUGGCGAAGGCGCCUUGCUGGCCUAUUUCUGACGCUGAGGCGCGAAAGCGUGGGGAGCAAACAGGAUUAGAUACCCUGGUAGUCCACGCUGUAAACGAUGAGUGCUAGGUGUAGGUGGGCUCAUACCCAUCUGUGCCGAAGCUAACGCAUUAAGCACUCCGCCCUGGGGAGUACGGUCGCAAGACUGAAACUUAGAAAGUAGUAGGACGNGNGAGAGCGACGGAGACACACGGGAGGGUAG